rnacentral:pre_miRNA from 1 species
GUAUUACUACAGUAGUAUAAGUUGUACUUGAUGUAUUACUACAGUACCUACUGUAGUAAUACAUCAAGUAUAACUUAUACCUACUGUAGUAAUAC